rnacentral:rRNA from 1 species
UACGGGGGGAGCAAGCGUUGUUCGGAUUUACUGGGCGUAAAGGGCGCGUAGGCGGUCAGCACAAGUCAGUUGUGAAAUCUCCGGGCUUAACUCGGAAAGGUCAACUGAUACUGUGUGACUAGAGUGCAGAAGGGGCAACUGGAAUUCUCGGUGUAGCGGUGAAAUGCGUAGAUAUCGAGAGGAAUACCAGUGGCGAAGGCGGCUGCCUGGCCUGUUCUUGACGCUGAGGCGCGAAAGCUGGGGGAGCAAACGGG